AGGUCUGUCCAUGAAGCAGCAGCAACGGCAGCAGCUUCCUCUGAUUCCUAAUGGGACUCAUCCUCUGACCACUCAUUUUAAGUUUGACUCCUUGAACCACCUUAAUUUCUUGAAGCUGGUUGCUACUUAUCACACUCCAGAGCUAGCACUCUCACCAAGGGCCGGAUGUGGAUGGUUUUCUAGAUCAUGCAAUAAUGUCUUCCCUCAAGAAAGGAGAGCCUUCCUCUAACACACAGGAACUCAGCAUCUGGGCCAGCAGUAAGUUUGUAUCAUGAUGUGAUCAUGGUAUUAUAAUAGCCAGACUUCAAGAUGGCUCCUGGUGUGCAUGCCCAUAUGUAUGGUCACUCUGAAAUUGAUCAUACAGGCUGGUCUGUGUGAGCAACAAAACAUGGCAGACAUUAUGGUGUACACUUUGGAUGCUAGAUCAUAAGAGGUUUGCAACUUCUACCUUAGUCUCUUAUGCUGACCCCUCUUGGGGAAGUCAACCACCAUGUCCUGAGGACCAAACAGGCUAUAGAGAAGCUCAGGCAGAAAAAAGCCAAUCUGCCAGGCAUGUGAGAGCCACCUUGUAAACAGAUCCUUCAGCCACAAUCAAGCCUUCAGAUGACUGUAGACCCAGUAACCUCAUGAGAGACCAGGAGCAUGAACCAUCCAACCAAAAUAUCCCUUGAAUUCCUGACUCACGGACAGGACAGCACAAGAUAUAAUUGUCAUAAAUCUCUAAAUUUGGGGGAUAAUCCCUCAUGCUACAGUGAAUAAUUAAUAGAGAUAUUAUAGUCCUA